rnacentral:rRNA from 1 species
UACGGAAGGCAGCAGUGGGGAAUAUUGCACAAUGGGCGAAAGCCUGAUGCAGCUAUGCCGCGUGUAUGAAGAAGGCCUUAGGGUUGUAAAGUACUUUCAUCGGGGAGGAAAAAACAAAACUAAUAAUUUUAUUUCUUGACGUUACCCGAAAAAGAAGCACCGGCUAACUCCGUGCCAGCAGCCGCGGUAAUACGGAGGGUGCUAGCGUUAAUCAGAAUUACUGGGCGUAAAGAGCACGUAGGUGGUUUUUUUAAGUCAGAUGUGAAAUCCCUGGGCUUAACCUAGGAACUGCAUUUUGAAACUGAAAUACUAGAGUAUCGUAGAGGGAGGUAGAAUUCUAGGUGUAGCGGUGAAAUGCGUAGAUAUCUGGAGGAAUACCUGUGGCGAAAGCGGCCUCCUAAACGAAUACUGACACUGAGGUGCGAAAGCGUGGGGAGCAAACAGGACUUAGAUACC